AGGCAAGCUUGAAUAACAAGGUACAUUUUGAAAACUUACUCAGUCAAGCAAGCAGCAAAUAGUUGUCAGGUUUUCUGGGUUCAUGAAUGACAACGAGUAGAAUAACACCAUGGCUACAUGAAAGUGCUUGCCUAGGCAAGCUUGAGUAGCAAGGUAAAUUUUGAAAACUUACUUAGUCAAGCAAGCAGCAAACAGUUGUCAGGUUUUCUCGGUUCA